AGUCCUGACUUGUUUGUUAUUUUUGGUGCUGAAGUUGAACUGAACUACAAAAGCCAAGAAAUGUCGUAAGCACAGCUCUAACUACUGUGUUGUAAUCUUAUUUCAUUCAGCUGCUGAGGGCUUAUAUGGCCACUGAAAGGAAUGCAGUCCUGGCUGAGUACUUUUUCCAGUGAAGAAAUGUUAAUUUGUUCCAUGCCAUCCCCAUUUUUUGUGCACCUAUGUUUAAAAUCAGCUUUCACUGAUCACCCCAGAGAGAGAGAAUUUGUAAAUACACUGUAUUAAAUCAUGUUUGGUAUCAAACUGUGAACCAUGCUGAUAAAAGAAGAAUUGACCCAAACUACUCAACCUCAAUCUAAUGAGAUCAAAAGACAUCAGCUGGAGCUGGUAGCUACUUCUCAUAGAGGGGAUUCUUUUCUCCUUUACAUCCUCUUUCAAGGCAAGAACUAAGCCACUCCUUCCCUGCUUUUAGGUUCUGAUUGUUUUCUGUUCACUGAACUCUCCAAUAUUAUUUGGUGAUAAGGACUAGGGAGUAAUGAAUAAGUUAUCAAAAUAAAUCAAAUAUGUAAAGGUGUGGGUAAUACCAAGUCUUCUAAGUGUGUACAGAAAAAAUAUGUGUGAAUAUGGAGAGCAAUUGUAUCUUUAAUGUACCUGGAUAUGGGAAUUAAUUUAUAAAUAAAUGUUUUAUCUGUCAGCUGGAGUAAUAAAGGAAUUUUCACCAAAAUGGAGAGAGUCUGCUCUUGUAGGGAUGUAGCUACACA